CCUACGGGAGGCAGCAGUGGGGAAUAUUGGACAAUGGGCGAAAGCCUGAUCCAGCAAUGCCGCGUGAGUGAUGAAGGCCUUAGGGUUGUAAAGCUCUUUUACCCGGGAUGAUAAUGACAGUACCGGGAGAAUAAGCUCCGGCUAACUCCGUGCCAGCAGCCGCGGUAAUACGGAGGGAGCUAGCGUUAUUCGGAAUUACUGGGCGUAAAGCGCACGUAGGCGGCUUUGUAAGUAAGAGGUGAAAGCCUGGUGCUCAACACCAGAACUGCCUUUUAGACUGCAUCGCUUGAAUCCAGGAGAGGUGAGUGGAAUUCCGAGUGUAGAGGUAGAAAUUCGUAGAUAUUCGGAAGAACACCAGUGGCGAAGGCGGCUCACUGGACUGGUAUUGACGCUGAGGUGCGAAAGCGUGGGGAGCAAACAGGAAUUAGAUACCCUGGUAGUCCACGCCGUAAACGAUGAUAACUAGCUGGUCGGGGCUCUUAGAGCUUCGGUGGCGCNGCACGCAUUAAUUAUCCGCCGNGGNGGACGGCGCGAAGUAAACUACAAUAGAUAGAGCGNGAGNGNGCGACGACGACGACGAGGGAGAGG
rnacentral:rRNA from 1 species